rnacentral:rRNA from 1 species
GAUGAACGCUGGCGGCGUGCCUAAUACAUGCAAGUCGAGCGAACAUAUGAGGAGCUUGUUCCUCUGACGUUAGCGGCGGACGGGUGAGUAACACGUGGAUAACCUACCUAUAAGACUGGGAUAACUUCGUGAAACCGGAGCUAAUACCGGAUAAUAUAUUGAACCGCAUGGUUCAAUAGUGAAAGAGGUUUUUGCUGUCACUUAUAGAUGGAUCCGCGCCGCAUUAGCUAGUUGGUAAGGUAACGGCUUACCAAGGCAACGAUGCGUAGCCGACCUGAGAGGGUGAUCGGCCACACUGGAACUGAGACACGGUCCAGACUCCUACGGGAGGCAGCAGUAGGGAAUCUUCCGCAAUGGGCGAAAGCUUGACGGAGCAACGCCGCGUGAGUGAUGAAGGUCUUCGGAUCGUAAAACUCUGUUAUUAGGGAAGAACAGAUGUGUAAGUAAAUAUGCACGUCUUGACGGUACCUAAUCAGAAAGCCACGGCUAACUACGUG